CAACUUGUCAACAGGAUGUGUUCGCACUGCUUGUUCCCAGCUUGUUGACAACUUGCUACAAGCUGGUUGUUGAGUUCAACAGACUUGUUACAAGUUGUUCCAACAACUUGUUAUCGUCAUGCAAUUCAACAAUUUGUCAACAAGUUGUGAGUGACAACCUUGUAGCAACUUGAUAAACUAUAACAGCGUUGUUACAACUUGUUGACAAGCUUGCUACAAGCCUGUCGCGAACACAUCUUGUUCACAAGUUG